rnacentral:rRNA from 1 species
GACGAACGAGGGAGGGGGGAAGAAUAGAGGCAAGUCGAACGAACCGCGACUGAGUGCUUGCACGUGGUCAAGGUGAGUGGCGAACGGGUGAGUAACACGUGGGUAACCUACCUCAUAGUGGGGGAUAACAGUCGGAAACGACUGCUAAUACCGCAUAGGACAUAGGAUCAGAUGAUCCAGGGAGGAAAGAUGGCGCACGCUAUCGCGACGAGAUGGAGCCGCGGUGCAUUAGCUAGUUGGUAGGGUAAAGGCCUACCAAGGCGAUGAUGCAUAGCCGACCUGAGAGGGUGAUCGGCCACAUUGGGACUGAGACACGGCCCCAACUCCUACGGGAGGCAGCAGUAGGGAAUCUUCCGCAAUGGACGCAAGUCUGACGGAGCAACGCCGCGUGAGUGAAGAAGGUCUUCGGAUCGUAACGCUCUGUUGUUAGAGAAGAACAGCGCAUAGAGUAACUGCUCUGGGUGUGACGGUAUCUAAUCAGAAAGCCACGGCUACCUACGUG